rnacentral:rRNA from 1 species
CCUACGGGUGGCUGCAGUGAGGAAUAUUGGUCAAUGGCCGGAAGGCUGAACCAGCCAUGCCGCGUGAAGUUCAGUGCCCUAUGGGCGUUAAACUUCUUUUGUGCGGGAGCAAUAAUGGUCACGUGUGGCCAGAAGAGAGUACCGUACGAAUAAGCAUCGGCUAAACCCGUGCCAGCAGCCGCGGUAAUACGGAGGAUCCGAGCGUUAUCCGGAUUUAUUGGGUUUAAAGGGAGCGUAGAUGGGUUGUUAAGUCAGUUGUGAAAGUUUGCGGCUCAACCGUAAAAUUGCAAUUGAUACUGGCAGCCUUGAGUACAGUAGAGGUAGGCGGAAUUCGGGGUGUAGCGGUGAAAUGCUUAGAUAUCACGAAGAACUCCGAUUGCGAAGGCAGCCUACUAAACUGCCACUGACGUUGAGGCUCGAAAGUGUGGGUAUCAAACAGGAUUAGAUACCCGUGUAGUC